CGGGUAUUGACCCCUGCUGUGCCGAAGUUAACGCAUUAAGUUCUCCGCCUGGGGAGUACGGCCGCAAGGCUAAAACUCAAAGGAAUUGACGGGGACCCGCACAAGCGGUGGAGCAUGUGGUUUAAUUCGACGCAACGCGAAGAACCUUACCUGGAUUUGACAUCCUCUGACCUCCAUGGAAACAUGGCUUUCUAUGCUUGCAUAGACAGAGUGACAGGUGCUGCAUGGCUGUCGUCAGCUCGUGUCGUGAGAUGUUGGGUUAAGUCCCGCAACGAGCGCAACCCUUGUUUUUAGUUGCUAUUAUUAAGUUAAGCACUCUAGAAAUACUGCCUCGGUUAACGGGGAGGAAGGUGGGGAUGACGUCAAGUCCUCAUGGCCUUUAUAUCCAGGGCUACACACGUGCUACAAUGGACUGUACAAAGGGUCGCCACUUCGCGAGAAGGAGCUAAUCCCAAAAAGCAGUUCUCAGUUCGGAUUGGAGUCUGCAACUCGACUCCAUGAAGUUGGAAUCGCUAGUAAUCGUGGAUCAGCAUGCCACGGUGAAUACGUUCCCGGGUCUUGUACACACCGCCCGUCACACCACGAAAGUCGGCUGUACCAGAAGUUGCUGGGCUAACCCUUCGGGGAAGCAGGUACCUAAGGUACGGUCGGUAAUUGGGGUGAAGUCGUAACAAGGUAGCCG
rnacentral:rRNA from 1 species